rnacentral:snRNA from 1 species
UUUCCGCGGUGUACUGCGGGUU